rnacentral:rRNA from 1 species
CACGAACCGUACAAACGUUAUUCGGAAUUACUGGGCUUAAAGGGUGCGUAGGCGGCCUGGAAAGUUGGAUGUGAAAUCCCUCGGCUCAACCGAGGAAUAGCGUUCAAAACUGCCAGGCUAGAGGGAGACAGAGGUGAGUGGAACUUAGGGUGGAGCGGUGAAAUGCGUUGAUAUCCUAAGGAACACCAGUGGCGAAAGCGACUCACUGGGUCUCUUCUGACGCUGAGGCACGAAAGCUAGGGGAGCGAACGGG